AGAGUUUGAUCCUGGCUCAGGACGAACGCUGGCGGCGUGCUUAACACGUGCAAGUCGAACGGUGAUGAUGGGAGCUUGCUUCUGUCUGAUCAGUGGCGAACGGGUGAGUAACACGUGAGUAACCUGCCCCAGACUCUGGGAUAACCCCGGGAAACCGGAGCUAAUACCGGAUAUGACAYCAAUCCGCAUGGGUAUGGUGUGGAAAGUUUUUCGGUCUGGGAUGGACUCGCGGCCUAUCAGCUUGUUGGUGAGGUAGUGGCUCAYCAAGGCGACGACGGGUAGCCGGCCUGRGAGGGCGACCGGCCACACUGGGACUGAGACACGGCCCAGACUCCUACGGGAGGCAGCAGUGGGGAAUAUUGCACAAUGGGCGCAAGCCUGAUGCAGCGACGCCGCGUGAGGGAUGACGGCCUUCGGGUUGUAAACCUCUUUCAGCAGGGAAGAAGCGAAAGUGACGGUACCUGCAGAAGAAGCACCGGCUAACUACGUGCCAGCAGCCGCGGUAAUA
rnacentral:rRNA from 1 species